GCCGAUGAUGAUCGAGCUGUUCUGAGUGGUGAUGAGCCCUAUGAGUCCUGAGG
rnacentral:snoRNA from 15 species